AACAAACUACAACAACAAGAAAACGUCCACACUAUGAUGAUGCUGGCCCAAAUUUUGUCCACCCAUCCAAGCUCAUUUUUACCGACUCAAUCCAUCGUAAAGAUGGCCGAUUGAGCGGGUAAUCGCCCAAUCUGGCAACGUUUCUUGGCCGUAAAAUUCCCGCUCCAAACCGACCAUGUCGAGCACGUACAGCCGUCGGGCUGACAAAAGCACGGCCUUCGGGCACACAGGAGGGGCGGCGCCCCGGGGCCCUUAAGGGACCCCACGACCCUCGGUAUUACCUGUUUCCAUUAGGUGUAGCAAAUGAGGAGCUCGCUCCCACAGAAAGCACAGAGGAGGCGACCAGAACCUCACUGGGACAAACUCUGAAUAUCUGAAGCAACAGAGUAAAAGAUCAAGAUAUGUUGCAAGGAGCUGUAGAGAGAUCAGGGACAGAUAUGGCGAACAAGAAGCAUUUACUAAGAGAUGACUGAGUCUUCUGCUUCACUGUUCCGCCGCUGAGAGGAUUAUUUGAACCUGUAGUUUACACCACACAUCAUGUCAGUCAGCAAUCGCUGUUGUAGCCAUUUAGAUGUCAGUUCAGGUCAAGUCAGGUUUAUUUGUUUAGCUCUUUAUCACAAUGUUAUUGAGAAUGAGCCUUGUGUUUCUGCUUGUGUGAUAGGCCCUAAAAAACAGAACAGAGUCAUUUGUAGUGAAGCCACACGCCAGCAGAUGGAGUUAUUAAGCGACAUAUUCAAA